rnacentral:misc_RNA from 1 species
ACCGAUCGAAUGAUACGGUAAA